GGUUUUCGUUUGAGCAUAUCAGCAUGAUUUAGUCACAGCACUGUGUAUUCUAGACACCAGGUUGGUUUGGCCACCAGCCAAGGGGUGUACGUAUCCGGAUAGGUCGUCGGUGACGCAUGAAUAAGCUCGCAGUGUCUGCUCUGUGACAGGCAACGCUUGAGGUCUGCGGACCAAUAUAGCAGUAUCAGAUUGGGUUUGGUUUUGGACUAUUCACCUUUGAGGCAUCUGAUCAGUUGAGUUUUUGGUUACAGUAGUAGUUUCAUUCUUGCUCAGUUAUUAUCCUGUUUCUAUUACUACUGUAGUUGCUUUUACGUCA
rnacentral:lncRNA from 1 species